GUUUGAUCCUGGCUCAGAAUGAACACUGGCGGCGUGCCUGAUACAUGUAAGUCGAACGGGCUGCUGUAACGCGGAGGCCUUGGGAGGGGUAGCGGAUGAGAAAUCGUUCAAAGCCCAAGAAGGGGAGGAAGCGUGAAAAGCGGCCAGUGGACGAACGGGUGAGUAACACGUAGGCGAUCCACCUUACAGUGGGGAACAACUACUCGAAAGGGCAGCUAAUACCGCAUAAGGUCUAGCGGGAGCUAGAAGAAAGGGACGCGAGUCCCGCUGAAAGAGGAGCCUGCGUCUGAUUAGCUAGUUGGCGGGGUAACGGCUCACCAAGGCGACGAUCAGUAGCCGACCUGAGAGGGUGAUCGGCCACACUGGAACUGAGAAACGGUCCAGACUCCUACGGGAGGCAGCAGUGGGGAAUAUUGGGCAAUGGGCGAAAGCCUGACCCAGCAACGCCGCGUGAAGGAAGAAGGUUUUCGGAUCGUAAACCUCUGUCCUUGGUGAAGAGUAAAAGACGGUAGCCAAGGAGGAAGCCCCGGCUAACUACGUGCCAGCAGCCGCGGUAAUACGUAGGGGGCGAGCGUUGUCCGGAAUGAUUGGGCGUAAAGGGCGCGUAGGCGGCCUGUUAAGUCCGGAGUGAAAUUCCUGCUUUCAAGGUAGGAAGUGCUUUGGAAACUGGCGGGCUGGAGUGCAGGAGAGGUUAGCGGAAUUCCCGGUGUAGCGGUGAAAUGCGUAGAGAUCGGGAGGAACACCAGUGGCGAAGGCGGCUAACUGGACUGUAACUGACGCUGAGACGCGAAAGCGUGGGGAGCAAACAGGAUUAGAUACCCUGGUAGUCCACGCGGUAAACGAUGCACACUAGGUGCCGGGGCGGACGCUUCGGUGCCGGAGCCAACGUGGUAAGUGUGCCGCCUGGGGAGUAUGCUCGCAAGGGUGAAACUCAAAGGAAUUGACGGGGGCCCGCACAAGCGGUGGAGCAUGUGGUUUAAUUCGAUGGUACGCGAGGAACCUUACCUGGGCUUGACAUAUAGAGGAAUGUGACAGAGAUGUCACAGCCGGGCAACCGGCCUUUAUACAGGUGCUGCAUAGCUGUCGUCAGCUCGUCCCGUGAGGUGUUCGGGUUAAGUCCCGCAACGAGCGCAACCCCUAUCGUCAGUUACCAACAGGUUAUGCUGGGGACUCGUGGCGAAACUGCGCGGUGACAAACCGGAGGAAGGUGGGGAUGACGUCAAGUCCUCAUGGCCCUUAUGUCCAGGGCUACACACGUGCUACAAUGGUCGUUACAGAGUGAAGCGAAGCCGCGAGGUGGAGCAAAUVGCAGAAAAACGAUCUUAGUUCGGAUUGGAGUCUGAAACCCGACUCCAUGAAGGUGGAAUCGCUAGUAAUCGCGCAUCAGCAUAGCDKAUADACGUCCGGGCUUGUACACACCGCCCGUCACACCAUCCGAGUGGNGUACCCGAAGCCGUUACUCUAACCAGCAAUG
rnacentral:rRNA from 1 species